UCACAGCUCCUAAAAAGAGUUAGAGUGGCCGAAAGAUAGGUCAGUUUCGGGAGGAGAAAUGUCCUGUGGUGUGUGAAGGUCCCAAAAGUACCCAGAGAUCGAUUAUAAUGACCCUUGCUCUGAUCGGGAGGGUACUUGUUGGCGAUGACAGGUCCAGCUCGUGAUCAGGCCGUGGUGAAAUACACAGAAACACUGGAUAUUGAUAGGGUUGUGUUAGUAUUUCCAUGGGUAGUUUCAUGAGCUUAGCGAUAGUUUGGCAAGGAUUCUGCAGCAUGAACGUAUAUAAUAACAAGAAAACUGACUAAUCUCCUUUGUGAUCUUUAAGAAUAUCGUGAAAGCCGAAAGGAUACGGGUCAGAAUUAGCGAAAGAAUUAGGGAAACUUAAUUGGUUCUUUUGUUUUGUGCAUUAAAUAAGGCAACAGCACUUACAAGUCCCCAUUCAUACAUAAUAUAUUCAUACUCAUCCAUUCAUUUAUUUUGGUAGUAGUAGUAGUAGCAGUAGUAGCAGUAGUAGUAGUAGUAAUAGUAGUAGUAGUAGUAGUAGUAGUAGUAGUAGUAGUAGUAGUAGUAGUAGUAGUAGUAGUAGUAGUAGUAGUAGUAGUAGUAGUAAUAGUAGUAGUAGUAGUAAUAGUAGUAGUAGUAGUAGGUUUUCUCAUCCCUUAAUUAAUAGAGGGAGGAGAAUGAUAAGGAGCAGGAGACUGAGGAAAAAAGAAGAGAAAAGAAAAAAGAAAACGAAUAAGAAGAAGAAGAAGAAGAAGAAAAAGAAGAAGAAGAAGAAGAAGAAGAAGAAAAAGAAGAAGAAGAAGAAGAAAAAGAAAAAGAAAAAGAAGAAAAAGAAGAAGAAAACGAAAAAGAAGAAGAAGAAUGAAAAGACGAAGAAAAAACAAGAACCAGAAGAACAAGAAGAUGAAGACAAUGAUGAUGAUGAUGAAAACGAAGAAACAGAAAAGAAAAAACAGGUGGUAGAAAGAGGGGCACACAGCAACUGGAGGAGGAGGAGGAGGAGGAGGAGGAUUCAACAAGACCAUUCAUACCCAAAGAUCUUGCUUCAGUGAUGACCUCAAUGAAGAGUCUGUGCUCUCUCUCUCUCUCUCUCUCUCUCUCUCUCUCUCUCUCUCUCUCUCUCUCUCUCUCUGACUCAUAUGCGCAGUGGUUAGCGCGCUCGCCUCACCAACUAGAGGUCCCGGGUUCGAUUCCGAGGUGGAGUGGAGACGGAUGGGCAGUCUCCUUUAAUAUGUCUCCCUAUGUGUGUGUGUGUGUGUGUGUGUGUGUGUGUGUGUGUGUGAGAGAGAGAGAGAGAGAGAGAGAGAGAGAGAGAGAGAGAGAGUCACCUGAGCAUCACCUGAGCUCGUUCGAGGAGUCCAGCGCGUGAUCAGACCAUGGUGAACACACACACACACACACACACACACACACACACACACACACACACAUCAGCACUACGCAUAUGGAAGAAGAAGAAGAAGGAGCAGGAGGAGGAGGAGGAGGAGGAGAUGCAGAUAUUUCAAUAAUGAUAAUGAUGAUGAAAAACAAGAAGACCAACAACAAGAACAACAAGAACGAGGAGGAGGAGGAGGAGGAGGAGGAGGAGAUGAAGAUUCAGAUAUUUCAACAAUGAUAAUAAUGAUGAAGAACAAGACUAACUAGAAGAACAACCAGAACGACAACGAACGAGAACAAGAAGGAAGAAGAGGAGGAGGAGGAGGAGGAGGAGGAAAAGGAGGUUCCCCAACUAUUGAUUUCCUGUGACGUCAUCCGUGCGUCAUACCGAGGCCGGGGAGCUGCCAGAUGCACGACACGACACGACAGACAGCAACAAACUAACCAUUUCGGCACCCGGGCACACAAAUUCGACGGUUUUUGUAGGAGUUUUGGGGGUUUUCCAGGAAUAGUUCAAUGGUCCUGGUGGUAGUUUGACCCUCCUUCUGGACCGAGAACCAUACAAAAGCACUCAUUAAAACCCGACUGAUCUCCUUUUUUGGCUUUGGAAAUAAUUGAUGUGAGAGGGGAAAUUUAUCACGAGGAAGCGCAUGUAUUAGCUAACCAGAGCAACGUCAGCACAUGAUCGCACUGAGAACAACGUAGGUAUUUUAAUUCUGACUUCUGGCCCCGAAAACAAUCAGUAAUUAUCGGGUUUAGGGAUAAGUAGGAGUGAAUGGCGUUAUGUGUGUGGGUGCGACGGUUUGGGUGUGAAAAUGGAGAACAGAAGAAGCGGAGUACGACAGUCAGGUAACGAAGAAGAACAGAAGAAGCGGAGUACGACAGUCAGGUAACGAAGGGAGAACAGAAGAAGCGGAGUACGACAGUCAGGUAACGAAGGGAGAACAGAAGAAGCGGAGUACGACAGUCAGGUAACGAAGGGAGAACAGAAGAAGCGGAGUACGACAGUCAGGUAACGAAGGGAGAACAGAAGAAGCGGAAUACGACAGUCAGGUAACGAAGGGAGAACAGAAGCGGAGUACGACAGUCAGGUAACGAAGGGAGAACAGAAGAAGCGGAGUACGACAGUUAGGUAACGAAGGGAGAACAGAAGAAGCGGAGUACGACAGUUAGGUAUCGUUGAGCCGGGGUCCAAAGGCAACGUAAGGGAGAGCGAACACGUUAGCCGGCCCCGUAAUGAUCACCCUGGCGUUAAUGAUUGGGCGGGCGUCCGGAGGAAUGGGAGUGCAAGAAGAGAGAGUCAGCUAAUAGGAUGAGGGAAGCCUGGCCCAUAGUGACUCCUCCCUACACCCAUGAAGCAACUCUGGGAGCCUGCCACCACGAGAGUUAUUCAGGUAAGUGUUUGUGAAAGAAAAGUUGACAUUGUAUUUAAAAUGAGUGAUGGACAGGUGAAAUUAGAGCCUUUGUUGGGGCAGGAUGGACCACACAAACACCAGACAGGGAACCAGGUGGAGAGGUGGAGUUAGAACCUUUGCUGGGGCAGGAUGGAGCACACUAACACCAGACAGGGAACCAGGUGGAGAGGUGGAAUUAAAACCUUUGCUAGGACAGGAUAGAGCACACUUUCCUAUGUGGGUAUCAGAGAGUAUAGUAUUCUGUGUGUGGUGAUGGUAGUGGUGGUGAU